rnacentral:rRNA from 1 species
UACGUAGGGUGCAAGCGUUGUCCGGAAUUAUUGGGCGUAAAGAGCGUGUAGGCGGCCCGACCAGUCCGCUGUGAAAGUCCAGGGCUCAACCCGGGAAUUGCAUUGGAUACUGGCAGGCUAGAGUGCGGUAGAGGGUAGUGGAAUUCCCGGGUGUAGCAGUGAAAUGCGUAGAGAUCGGGAGGAACACCAGUGGCGAAGGCGACUACCUGGACCAGCACUGACACUGAGGCACGAAAGCG